UCCACAUCGACGGGGAGGUUUGGCACCUCGAUGUCGGCUCAUCGCAUCCUGGGGCUGUAGUCGGUCCCAAGGGUUGGGCUGUUCGCCCAUUAAAGCGGUACGCGAGCUGGGUUCAGAACGUCGUGAGACAGUUCGGUCCCUAUCCGUCGUGGGCGUAGGAAAUUUGAGAGGAGCUGUCCUUAGUACGAGAGGACCGGGAUGGACGCACCGCUGGUGUACCAGUUGUUCUGCCAAGGGCAUAGCUGGGUAGCUAUGUGCGGAAGGGAUAAGUGCUGAAAGCAUCUAAGCAUGAAGCCCCCCUCAAGAUGAGAUUUCCCAUAGCGUAAGCUAGUAAGAUCCCUGAAAGAUGAUCAGGUUGAUAGGUUCGAGGUGGAAGCAUGGUGACAUGUGGAGCUGACGAAUACUAAUAGAUCGAGGACUUAACCAUAUAA
rnacentral:rRNA from 1 species